GCCCGAGUAGCUCAGUCGGCAGAGCAGCUGUCUUGUAAACAGCAGGUCGCAGGUUCAAUUCCUGUCUCGGGCU
rnacentral:tRNA from 1 species